rnacentral:misc_RNA from 1 species
AACUUCCACCUGGCAUACCUCYUCAGUUAUGUGUCAAGGCUUGUAUCGCCUUGAGCGUAUUGCGGGUUUCCUGUGUUGCAUACCAAAUUGCUGGUACUGUUUUGGUUGAUCAAAGUCCUUUUUCAUCUUGUGUUGCUGUUGUGAUGCAUGAUGAACCUUUAAGCGGUCUUUAUGUUCCAUCAUGUUGAUGCAAAUGCAUUGAUGUUGUGGCCCAUUGAGUGUUGCUUGGUAUUCUUGAUACGGAACAUUAUGUGGGCAUGGGGUCUCUCAUGACUCUUGUUUUGUCCUUGUUCAGUGUUCUUCGAAAUGACGGUUCAUGCGCGCCUAGGCUCGUACCUGCGCGAUGUUCUUUGUCAAAGAGGAAUGCUACCUGGUUGAUCCUGCCAGUA